rnacentral:rRNA from 1 species
UACCAGCACCCCGAGUGGUCGGGACGAUUAUUGGGCCUAAAGCAUCCGUAGCCGGUUUUACAAGUCCUCCGUUAAAUCCAGCUGCUUAACAGAUGGGCUGCGGAGGAUACUAUAAGACUAGGAGGCAGGAGAGGCAAGCGGUACUCAGUGGGUAGGGGUAAAAUCCGUUGAUCCAUUGAAGACCGCCAGUGGCGAAGGCGGCUUGCCAGAAUGCGCUCGACGGUGAGGGAUGAAAGCUGGGGGAGCAAACAGG